rnacentral:rRNA from 1 species
UGGGGAAUAUUGCACAAUGGGCGCAAGCCUGAUGCAGCCAUGCCGCGUGUAUGAAGAAGGCCUUCGGGUUGUAAAGUACUUUCAGUCGGGAGGAAGGUGGUAAGGUUAAUAACCUUGGCAAUUGACGUUACCGACAGAAGAAGCACCGGCUAACUCCGUGCCAGCAGCCGCGGUAAUACGGAGGGUGCAAGCGUUAAUCGGAAUUACUGGGCGUAAAGCGCACGCAGGCGGUUGAUUGAGUCAGAUGUGAAAUCCCCGGGCUUAACCCGGGAAUGGCAUCUGAUACUGGUCGGCUAGAGUCUUGUGGAGGGGGGAGGAAUUCCAGGUGUGGCGGGGAAAUGCGAGGAGAUGUGAGGAAUACCGGUGGCGAAGGCGGCCCCCUGGACAAAGACUGACGCUCAGGUGCGAAAGCGUGGGGAGCAAACAGG